rnacentral:rRNA from 1 species
AUCAAUAAGCGGAGGAAAAGAAACCAACAGGGAUUGCCCCAGUAACGGCGAGUGAAGCGCAACAGCUCAAAUUUGNNNNNNNNNNNNNGGGUCCGAGUUGUAAUUUGUAGAGGAUGCUUUUGGCGAGGUGCCUUCCGAGUUCCCUGGAACGGGACGCCAUAGAGGGUGAGAGCCCCGUCGGUCGGACACCGAGCCUCUGUAAAGCUCCUUCGACGAGUCGAGUAGUUUGGGAAUGCUGCUCAAAAUGGGAGGUAUAUGUCUUCUAAAGCUAAAUAUUGGCCAGAGACCGAUAGCGCACAAGUAGAGUGAUCGAAAGAUGAAAAGCACUUUGAAAAGAGGGUUAAAAAGUACGUGAAAUUGUUGAAAGGGAAGCGCCUAUGACCAGACUUGGGCCCGGUGAAUCACCCAGCGUUCUCGCUGGUGCACUUCGCGGGCACAGGCCAGCAUCAGUUUGGCGCGGGGGAGAAAGGUUUCGGGAAUGUGGCUCCCCCGGGAGUGUUAUAGCCCGUUGCGCAAUACCCUGCGCUGGACUGAGGUACGCGCAUUCGCAAGGAUGCUGGCGUAAUGGUCAUCAGCGACCCGUCUUGAAACACGGACCAAGGAGUCGUCUUCGUAUGCGAGUGUUCGGGUGUCAAACCCCUACGCGUAAUGAAAGUGAACGCAGGUGAGAGCUCGGCGCAUCAUCGACCGAUCCUGAUGUUCUCGGAUGGAUUUGAGUAAGAGCAUACGGGGCCGGACCCGAAAGAAGGUGAACUAUGCCUGUAUAGGGUGAAGCCAGAGGAAACUCUGGUGGAGGCUCGCAGCGGUUCUGACGUGCGAAUCGAUCGUCAAAUAUGGGCAUGGGGGCGAAAGACUAAUCGAACCUUCUAGUAGC